GGCACUGUGGCGGAGUGGUUAACGCGACAGAUUCGAAUCAGUUUCGUAGAAUAGCUUUCAUCUGUUCCACUUGUUGGGCGCAUGUUCGAAUCAUGCCAGUGUCG